rnacentral:rRNA from 1 species
AAUAGAUACCCAGGUAGUCCACGCCGUAAACGAUGAGUGCUAAGUGUUAGAGGGUUUCCGCCCUUUAGUGCUGCAGCUAACGCAUUAAGCACUCCGCCUGGGGAGUACGGCCGCAAGGCUGAAACUCAAAGGAAUUGACGGGGGCCCGCACAAGCGGUGGAGCAUGUGGUUUAAUUCGAAGCAACGCGAAGAACCUUACCAGGUCUUGACAUCCUCUGCCAACCCUAGAGAUAGGGCGUUCCCCUUCGGGGGACAGAGUGACAGGUGGUGCAUGGUUGUCGUCAGCUCGUGUCGUGAGAUGUUGGGUUAAGUCCCGCAACGAGCGCAACCCUUGAUCUUAGUUGCCAGCAUUCAGUUGGGCACUCUAAGGUGACUGCCGGUGACAAACCGGAGGAAGGUGGGGAUGACGUCAAAUCAUCAUGCCCCUUAUGACCUGGGCUACACACGUGCUACAAUGGAUGGUACAAAGAGCUGCGAACCCGCGAGGGUAAGCCAAUCUCAUAAAGCCAUUCUCAGUUCGGAUUGUAGG